AGUGAACGCUGGCGGUAGGCCUAACACAUGCAAGUCGAACGGCAGCACAGUAAGAGCUUGCUCUUACGGGUGGCGAGUGGCGGACGGGUGAGGAAUACAUCGGAAUCUACUUUUUCGUGGGGGAUAACGUAGGGGAACUUACGCUAGUACCGCAUACGACCUACGGGUGAAAGCAGGGGAUCUUCGGACCUUGCGCGGAUGAAUGAGCCGAUGUCGGAUUAGCUAGUUGGCGGGGUAAAGGCCCAGCAAGGGGGCGAUCCGUAGCUGGUCUGAGAGGAUGGUAAGCCACAUUGGAAGUGAGACAGGGUCAAGAGUCCUACGGGAGGCAGCAGUGGGGAAUAUUGGACAAUGGGCGCAAGCCUGAUCCAGCCAUACCGCGUGUGUGAAGAAGGCCUUCGGGUUGUAAAGCCCUUUUGUUGGGAAAGAAAAGCAGCAGGUUAAUACCCCGCUGUUCUGACGGUACCCAAAGAAGAAGCACCGGCUAACUUCGUG
rnacentral:rRNA from 1 species